rnacentral:lncRNA from 1 species
UCAUGAGUUCUCAGUGGGAUGACCUAGUUCUGGCCUUCUCCCACAUAUCUCAGUCGCUCUUUUUGACAUCGCCCACUAUCUAGUGUCAGUGAUGACACUAAAGCAUAAGCCAGCACAGCAGCAGGGGCAGUGGCAUGGAAGAAUCCUAUUUCAAGCUGGAUUACUGCUUUGGUGGGGGAAUUUUAGUCUAUGUACUGCUUACAGAGCAUCCAUUGAGAUUUCUUACAAACAACACUAAUAUAUUACUGCCAUCUUCCACCUGACAUAUAUUAUUUUGCCCAAGGUUAUUCAUUUCUACCUGUUGAACUCCUAGCUGAGAGAAUGAAGAAAGUGACUAGAAUUUGGAAAAUAGCAGUUAAAGUCAAACGUGCUAAUAGAAAAUAUGAAAAAUGAGGCUGGAUUCUCAUGAUAGCUAUUGGAUGGGCAUGAGGUGCGGGUCCUACCAUUAUCACGAAUUUUGAGUAGUUCGUAAAAGGAAACAGAAGGUAAUGGAUGGUUGAAGAUGUCUUACCCUUCCUAGAUAACCAUGCUGGGGUCAGUUAUCCUCAUAUCCCAGCACACCAAGCAUCUGGCAAUAUCAAAGCAUAAUCUGAUAUUCCUUUAUAACAUCUUUAUUGUGGUCACAAAGAUAGCCAUAAUGAUUACAGAGACUUCUAGGAUGACAUUUGUUUCUUUUGAGGGUACAUUGAGAUGGAUACUGUUUGGCUGGCAACAAUAGUUUUCAUUGGAAAAGAAAAGCAAAACAAAAUUACCUUUCAAUGACCGUGGUUCAUUGGCCUCAAAUCUUAUAGCUGAUGCUUCACAUAAUGUUAAAAAGAAAUGUAGUAAGAAGACUG